UGACUGACUUGUGUUACAGUCUUGAACACCGCAUACUUCGAAACGGGUGUGAAUACAGAUUUAUAGUCCACCGGACAGUUUCGCACGCCUGCAAAAAC